rnacentral:tRNA from 3 species
CGCGGGGUGGAGCAGUCUGGUAGCUCGUCGGGCUCAUAACCCGAAGGUCGUCGGUUCGAAUCCGGCCCCCGCAACCA